rnacentral:rRNA from 1 species
GACGAACGCUGGCGGCGUGCUUAACACAUGCAAGUCGAACGGGCUACUGGGGUUCUGGCUUUUUUGGUUGGGGUGCUGGGGGUUAGUGGCGAACGGGUGAGUAACACGUUAGUAACCUGCCCUUCACUUCUGGAUAACCGCUUGAAAGGGUGGCUAAUACGGGCUGUUUCUGGGUCUGUCGCAUGGCGGGUUCGGGAAAGAUGGCACUGUUUGUUGUUUGUGGUGGGGGAUGGGCUCGCGGCCUAUCAGCUUGUUGGUGGGGUGGUGGCUUGCCAAGGCUUUGACGGGUAGCCGGCCUGAGGGGGUGACCGGCCACAUUGGGACUGAGAGACGGCCAAGACUCCUACGGGAGGCAGCAGUGGGGAAUAUUGCACGAUGGGCGGAAGCCUGAUGCAGCAACGCCGCGUGCGGGAUGACGGCCUUCGGGUUUUAAACCGCUUUCGCCUGUGACGAAGCGUGAGUGACGGUAAUGUGUAAAGAAGCACCGGCUAACUACGUG